UCUUUGCAUUACAUAAACAUGUCUUACUAAAUCCCAAUUCAUAAAAAGAUAAUGGCAUUUCAUUUGAUUACGUUUUUCCAAGUAGUCAUUACCAUUCUACAAAUUAAUAAUGGAAUGGGGAAUGUGAUAAAGUGUGAAAAAUUUGAAGAUAAAAGAAGUCCAAUUAACGGGAAGGAUCAGGAUUCAAGUUGGAUAAAUAUUCCUCCACAUUUGGUCUCAACGGUGGAGGAAUUGAAAUAUUUCAGUAUCCAUAAAUAUAAUUCAUCUUACAUAAGAAAAUGCGAAACCCAUUCAGAUCGGAUCCUGCUUCCUCUCGAUCCGGAAGGGUAUAACUUGACUGAAGCCAAGGAGAAACAGAGACGGCGAUGGUACGAGUAUCCCAUGUGGGAGGAACAAAGACCAACCACUAAAUUCACAUUUAAUGGAUUAUUAGAAAACAAGGGACAAUUGCUGUCACAUAAAUUCUAUUGUCUGGCAAGGCUCAUUCCAUUUGUAAGCAACACGUUUGAUCGAGUCCCAGGAAAUAGAGGUGCUAAACCCUGCUCGCUGGUGGUGGCUGCCUGACCAUGUAUUUUCCUCUCUUUGAUAUGAGAACACCACACAACUUAUGCUUUGUCAAUGUUCCCGGCCACGUAGGAACACAGAAUUAUUUACUACUGUCUACGCAAGCAGCCCAUGUUAAUUUUACCUUUUCGAAAAAUCGCCAAAACUCCAAGACGGACAAAAAUCGCGUGGGGUUUUAAACUUUUUUAUUUCCUUAGGCCCAAAGGCAUCGAUUGGCUUAUCUCUCUAUGAGCGAUUCUUGUCCGUCUUCUCGAUAAUCGAGUUUUUCAAUACAUUAUAAAUUUCUGAUUUUUUUGAAUAUUUGAAUUUUUGAAAAUUUUUCCUAUCAAUGAAUGAUCAAUGAAUGAAAUCUGUAAAUGUAACCUACCCCUUGAACCAACACUUUGGCGACGAAAGCAUUUUCAAUGCACUGCUAUAUCUUUGCGAAAAAAAUUAAUUUUCAAAUUUUGAUUUUUAUGAUAUGUUUUAUUUUAUAUUAUGCAUCUAUGAUAAGAUUGUGGACAAGAUAUCAAAUAUGGGUGCGACGACGAUCGUGUGGGUUCAGAUGGAAUGAGCCAUCAUCCCCCCUUCAGCAUUUCAGAUAGCCACAUUGAACUUGAAAUCUGUCCGAUCAACUGCAACAAUUAUCCAUCUUCUAAAACCAUUUGCAUCCCGACAUGUUGUGGAAUCAAUGCAUUCUUUGACUAUUGGAAUAACACGUGUCAUCAGAGAUUAGGAAUUCCUACGUCGAAUUACGUUGGCCUCUACAAAUCUCCAGAGGAAGAGUAUAAUGUUCAAGAUCAAGAAAACGAUCUGGAUUUGGUGUUUCUACGCAGAAAUCUGAAACAAAAUUGUACAAAAAUUGGGAAGUAUCCGUACACAACAGUUGUCGAGAAUGAGAAGGACCCCGCAGGUAGAAGGGACGUUGGGUUUCUGAAACGGUAUUUGGUGGACGGACGAAUGAUGCGUCAGACGGAGGAUGGCAAAACCUGGGUUGAGAUGGAGCUGCCCCCAGAGAAAUUUUGUAUUCAGCGCAUGUCCGUGUAUGACCUUCCUUGGGAUGUGGACCGGGAAUUGUAUCAAGUGCUUUUCGUCUGCGAUGAUACCAAAACCAAAUCUAGCGGAUGUUUUACUUUAUUAAGUGGUCACCAAUAUAUUUUAUUUUUGAUAUUAGUCAUAAAAAUUCUUGAACAACACAUGUGAACGAAUUGAUUUUUAAUAAUAUAUUAUAUAUAUAUAUAUAUAUAUAUAUAAGUGCAA